rnacentral:rRNA from 1 species
GGGCCCGCACAAGCGGUGGAGCAUGUGGUUUAAUUCGAUGAUACGCGAGGAACCUUACCAAGGUUUAAAUGUAGAACGAUCGAUGUGGAAACACAUCUUUCUUCGGACGGUCUACAAGGUGCUGCAUGGUUGUCGUCAGCUCGUGCUGUGAAGUGUCGGGUUAAGUCCCAUAACGAGCGCAACCCCUAUCUUUAGUUGCCAGCGAUCGGUCGGGACUCUAAAGAAACUGCCGGCGUAAGCCGCGAGGAAGUGGGAUGACGUCAAUCAUCACGGCCCUUACAUCUUGGGCUACACACGUGCUACAAUGGCGAGGACAACGAGAAGCAAACCGGCGACGGUGAGCAAAUCUAAAAACCUCGUCUC